AUGGAGCCACAGCCCCAACUCCUGGCCUUCCUGGUACUCUGGGUCUCAGGUGCCUGUGGGGACAUUGUGAUGACUCAGUCUCCUGGUUCCCUGGCUGCGUCUCCAGGAGAGAGGGUCACCAUCAACUGCAAGUCCAGCCAAAGUCUUUUAUACAACAAUAACAACUACUUAGCCUGGUACCAGCAGAAACCAGGACAGGCUCCUAAGGUGCUCAUCUCCUGGGCAUCCACUCGGGCAUCUGGGGUCCCCGACCGAUUCAGUGGCAGUGGGUCUGGGACAGACUUCACUCUCACCAUCAGCAGCCUCCAGGCUGAAGAUGUGGCAGUUUACUACUGUGCGCAGUAUUACAACUAUCCUCCCACA